rnacentral:rRNA from 1 species
CAAGUCGAGCGAACAGACGAGGAGCUUGCUCCUCUGACGUUAGCGGCGGACGGGUGAGUAACACGUGGAUAACCUACCUAUAAGACUGGGAUAACUUCGGGAAACCGGAGCUAAUACCGGAUAAUAUAUUGAACCGCAUGGUUCAAUAGUGAAAGACGGUUUUGCUGUCACUUAUAGAUGGAUCCGCGCCGCAUUAGCUAGUUGGUAAGGUAACGGCUUACCAAGGCAACGAUGCGUAGCCGACCUGAGAGGGUGAUCGGCCACACUGGAACUGAGACACGGUCCAGACUCCUACGGGAGGCAGCAGUAGGGAAUCUUCCGCAAUGGGCGAAAGCCUGACGGAGCAACGCCGCGUGAGUGAUGAAGGUCUUCGGAUCGUAAAACUCUGUUAUUAGGGAAGAACAAAUGUGCAAGUAACUAUGCACGUCUUGACGGUACCUAAUCAGAAAGCCACGGCUAACUACGUGCCAGCAGCCGCGGUAAUACGUAGGUGGCAAGCGUUAUCCGGAAUUAUUGGGUGUAAAGCGCGCGUAGGCGGUUUUUUAAGUCUGAUGUGAAAGCCCACGGCUCAACCGUGGAGGGUCAUUGGAAACUGGAAAACUUGAGUGCAGAAGAGGAAAGUGGAAUUCCAUGUGUAGCGGUGAAAUGCGCAGAGAUAUGGAGGAACACCAGUGGCGAAGGCGACUUUCUGGUCUGUAACUGACGCUGAUGUGCGAAAGCGUGGGGAUCAA